GUGGAUUUCGACCGGGAUUUCCGUGUUAGAGGUGAUUGAGAACAAUGUAUUGAUACACGAGGUAAGCAUAUCGCAAUCAAGCAUCACGGUGUACAUCGAUUACACGAGGUUUAAGUGUUUCUUUACAUUUGUGUUCCAAAAUGGCGCCCUCGGUCAUACAGGGAGUUAUGGGUAGACUUGCUUGUCCCGGAAUAACACGAGUUGGUCACGAAUGACGAGCGGUCAUUUCUGCAGCAGUUACGGAAAGAGACGAGGUUGGCCGAUUACAGUUCAUACAGGCCAUAUUGGGAGCCGCGGAGAUUUCGACAGUGUGUGUUAGGAAGUAUAUCUAUGUGGUGUAUGGAAUAUGCGUUUGCCUACCAUGCCAGGCAGUGUGACAAGGGAUAUCCCAGCGGAUGUAAUAUUCCUACAGCAGAAAUGUUUCACAACCUCGAUUGCAGGGAGCUGAAGACGUGACAUAUUCAGACAGAGACCAUAAUACAUAGACUGUUAUAUGGUCUCUGAUUCAGGUGUGAAGAAUCAAGAACAAAUUAAAUGACAGGAGUUUUGCAACAGUGAACAUUGUGAAGUGGAAGAUAAGACAUUUGAAAGGUACCUGGAUUUCACAAUCUGACACCAGCUACAUUUAAGAAGAUCUUGCUCACACAAUUCAGACAAGGGACUCGCCGGAUGAUGAACAGUACUCCUGAUAACAACAAACAGAUUCACCUCAGAAA
rnacentral:lncRNA from 1 species